rnacentral:rRNA from 1 species
GACGUAGGGCGCGAGCGUUGUCCGGAAUUACUGGGCGUAAAGAGCUCGUAGGUGGUUUGUCGCGUUGUUCGUGAAAACUCACAGCUCAACUGUGGGCGUGCGGGCGAUACGGGCAGACUAGAGUACUGCAGGGGAGACUGGAAUUCCUGGUGUAGCGGUGGAAUGCGCAGAUAUCAGGAGGAACACCGGUGGCGAAGGCGGGUCUCUGGGCAGUAACUGACGCUGAGGAGCGAAAGCGUGGGGAGCGAACAGG